CGUGCCACGUGUCCCACGUCUCCCAGUGGGAGACGUUGGAUGUCCCCUUGGCCAUUUAAUGAAUUUUGGGUCUUCUUCUUCCUCAUAACACCAAACAGAGAGAGCACACCAAACAGAGAGCACGAAAGGGGCUGCGAUUUUAGGGUUUUCAAGGUUGUGAUUUUGGUGGUGAGAUUUUAGAGAGUACUUUGCAUCAAAACUUCUAUAACUAUCAAUCACACAUUUGAGCGAAUUCGAUUACUACUUGAAGUAAUUUUGCUAGCUUUUGAAUUAUUAAUUGCAAGAGAUGGUUAGGUCACUAUUAUAGGGGAAAUGCUGCCCGAUAUUAUUUAGGAUAAUAAACGAUUAGUUGAGAACGGGCAUUACUUGAUUGAACAUUCGAGUCCCAGGCAUUACUUGAGAACGCUAACAAGCACAUCAUAUACAGAGGCACAAAUUGAUGAGUUGCGACAAGAAUGGGCGACAUAUAUGUUGCCGAUAAUCCAAAGUUACCGACCUCGUUGAUAGGUUUUUUUUUAAUUUUUUAACUCUUUCUUCAUACACAAUGCAAUAUUUGUUCAUUUUGAAUAUUUCUAACAAAUAUUGUAUUUCUUGUAUAUAUCUAACAAAUAUAUUUUUUUAUUUCAAUUUAAAUUAAUAUUAUUUCAAUUUAAUUAAUUUAAAUUUAGAUUAAAAUAAUUUCAAUUUAAAUUAAUAUUAUUUCAAUUUAAUUAAUUAUUAAAUUAAUUUCAAUUUAGAUUAAAAUAAUUUCAAUUUAAAUUAAAAUAAUUUCAAUUUAAAUUAAUAUUAUUUCAAUUUAAAUUAAUAUUAUUUCAAUUUAAUUAAUUAUUAAAUCAAAUUAAAAUAAUAUUAAUUAUAAAUUUAUUUAAUUUAUUUUUUUUAAAUGUGGGAGACUUUCAA